GAUGAACGCUGGCGGCGUGCCUAAUACAUGCAAGUCGAGCGAACAGGCGAGGAGCUUGCUCCUCUGACGUUAGCGGCGGACGGGUGAGUAACACGUGGAUAACCUACCUAUAAGACUGGGAUAACUUCGGGAAACCGGAGCUAAUACCGGAUAAUAUAUUGAACCGCAUGGUUCAAUAGUGAAAGACGGUUUUGCUGUCACUUAUAGAUGGAUCCGCGCCGCAUUAGCUAGUUGGUAAGGUAGCGGCUUACCAAGGCAACGAUGCGUAGCCGACCUGAGAGGGGGAUCGGCCACAUGGGAACUGAGCCGCGGUCCAGACUCCUACGGGAGGCAGCAGUAGGGAAUCUGCCGCAAUGGGCGAAAGCCUGACGGAGCAACGCCGCGUGAGUGAUGAAGGUCUUCGGAUCGUAAAACUCUGUUAUUAGGGAAGAACAAAUGUGUAAGUAACUAUGCACGUCUUGACGGUACCUAAUCAGAAAGCCACGGCUAACUACGUG
rnacentral:rRNA from 1 species